UGGACAACUUAUUCUAUUUGACUGUAUUCACGGCGUGAAACAGGGGAUUACACUGUUUUUAAACGGAAGUGAAUCAAUUAACAUAAUAGACUCCU
rfam:Nicotiana sylvestris Nsyl_contig107571, whole genome shotgun sequence.